rnacentral:rRNA from 1 species
UACGUAGGGUGCGAGCGUUGUCCGGAAUUAUUGGGCGUAAAGAGCUCGUAGGCGGUUUGUCACGUCUGCUGUGAAAUCCCGAGGCUCAACCUCGGGCCUGCAGUGGGUACGGGCAGACUGGAGUGCGGUAGGGGAGAAUGGAAUUCCUGGUGUAGCGGUGGAAUGCGCAGAUAUCAGGAGGAACACCGAUGGCGAAGGCAGUUCUCUGGGCCUUACCUGACGCUGAGGAGCGAAAGCAUGGGGAGCAAACAGG